CAAGCGGCCAUUGGAAACUGGGAGACUUGAGUGCAGAAGAGGAGAGUGGAAUUCCACGUGUAGCGGUGAAAUGCGUAGAGAUGUGGAGGAACACCAGUGGCGAAGGCGACUCUCUGGUCUGUAACUGACGCUGAGGCGCGAAAGCGUGGGGAGCGAACAGGAUUAGAUACCCUGGUAGUCCACGCCGUAAACGAUGAGUGCUAAGUGUUAGAGG
rnacentral:rRNA from 1 species